rnacentral:misc_RNA from 1 species
AACGCAUCUUGCGCUCCUUGGUAUUCCGAGGAGCAUGCCUGUUUGAGUGUCAUUAAAUUUUCAACCAUUUAGUAGCUUUUGCGAACUUUGGCUUGGAUGUGGGGGUUUUAUUGCUGGCUUCUAACGAGGUCAACUCCCCUGAAAUUUAUUAGCGGUGCCCUUUGUGGACUCCCGACUAUCAGUGUGAUAAUUAUCUACGCUGUUAGGCGACCACGCUUUAAAUGGGGUUGUGCUGCUUCUAACCGUCGUUUGACAAUAUAAUGACAAUUUUGACCUCAAAUCAGGUAGGACUACCCGCUGAACUUAA